GACGAACGCUGGCGGCGUGCUUAACACAUGCAAGUCGAACGGAAAGGCCCUGCUUUUGUGGGGUGCUCGAGUGGCGAACGGGUGAGUAACACGUGAGUAACCUGCCCUUGACUUUGGGAUAACUUCAGGAAACUGGGGCUAAUACCGGAUAGGAGCUCCUGCUGCAUGGUGGGGGUUGGAAAGUUUCGGCUGUUGGGGAUGGACUCGCGGCUUAUCAGCUUGUUGGUGGGGUAGUGGCUUACCAAGGCUUUGACGGGUAGCCGGCCUGAGAGGGUGACCGGCCACAUUGGGACUGAGAUACGGCGCAGACUCCUACGGGAGGCAGCAGUGGGGAAUAUGGCACAAUGGGCGGAAGCCUGAUGCAGCAACGCCGCGUGCGGGAUGACGGCCUUCGGGUUGUAAACCGCUUUCGCCUGUGACGAAGCGUGAGUGACGGUAAUGGGUAAAGAAGCACCGGCUAACUACGUG
rnacentral:rRNA from 1 species